ensembl:lncRNA
AGAACAGAGCUGCCCCUCGUCUCUCAGCCCAGCUCUCCUGUUUUCUCAGCACCUCAGCGGGACAAGAAGGACAGAGCCUGCCAGAACCAAGUUGACCAUCCCUACUUAGCAGAGACCAGACCUGCCCCUCGUCUCCCAGCCCUGCACCUGGUGUGUUUUCUCAACACCUCAGUGGAACAAGAAAGGACUGAGCCUGCCAGAACCAAGGAUGAAAUGGCUGGAUGGCAUCACCGACUCAAUGGACAUGAGUUUGAGUAAGCUCUGGGAGUUGGUAAUGGACAGAGAAGCCUGGUGUGCUGCAGUCCGUGGGGUCACAAAGAGUUGGACAUGACUGAGUGACUGAAGAACUUAAUUAUGCUGACAAUCUUUUCUCGUAGUUUAUGGCCAUCUCUAUGCCUUUUCUGGAGAAAUGUGUAUUUAGAUUUUUAGAAAUGUUUUAUUGGAUUGAUUUUUUAUAUUGAGCUUUAUGAGUUUGUAUGUGUGGAGAUAAAUUCCCUGGUUUCCUU